UACGAGGGGGCGAGCGUUGUUCGGAAUUAUUGGGCGUAAAGGGUGCGUAGGCGGCCUGACAAGUCUGAUGUGAAAUCCCUGGGCUCAACCCAGGGCCUGCAUCGGAAACUGUCGGGCUUGAGUAUGGGAGAGGUGAGUGGAAUUUCCGGUGUAAGCGGUGAAAUGCGUAGAUAAUCGGAAGGAACACCUGUGGCGAAAGCGGCUCACUGGACCAUUACUGACGCUGAAGGCACGAAAGCUAGGGGAGCAAACAGG
rnacentral:rRNA from 1 species